GUUUCCUAAGUUGAUGUUUCUCCCAUGUGUAGUAGAAGAGUCCUCGAUGUGCUGUCUUACCAGGACCCACACACACAAGGCUGUCAUUGUGGCCACCAACGGGACGCCCAUGGAAAGGACACAGCCUUGCUGUGAAAUAUACCUGAAAGUGAAUAACUGCAAACAAUCUCCCUCUAGUGUCCAAGAAAGAAAAUGAAAUUUGAAAGCUCAGAGACAGUGAUUCAUUUCAUGUUGGCCUAAAUAAAACACAAGAGAGAAAGACUUCGAAUGGGAAUAAAAUGCUGCAUUGCAAAAG
rnacentral:lncRNA from 1 species